CCUACGGGAGGCAGCAGUGGGGAAUAUUGGGCAAUGGGCGCAAGCCUGACCCAGCAACGCCGCGUGAAGGAAGAAGGCUUUCGGGUUGUAAACUUCUUUUAAGGGGGAAGAGCAGAAGACGGUACCCCUUGAAUAAGCCACGGCUAACUACGUGCCAGCAGCCGCGGUAAUACGUAGGUGGCGAGCGUUGUCCGGAUUUACUGGGUGUAAAGGGCGUGCAGCCGGAGAGACAAGUAAGAGGUGAAAUCCACGGGCUCAACCCGUGAACUGCAUUUGAAACUGUUUCCCUUGAGUGUCGGAGAGGUAAUCGGAAUUCCUUGUGUAGCGGUGAAAUGCGUAGAUAUAAGGAAGAACACCAGUGGCGAAGGCGGAUUACUGGACGAUAACUGACGGUGAGGCGCGAAAGCGUGGGGAGCAAACAGGAUUAGAUACCCCGGUAGUC
rnacentral:rRNA from 1 species